UUCAUUACCGCUUUGGUACCUUUCACACUGAACCCGUUUCUCCCAUAGAAAACAGUGGUUGUCAUUUUAAUUGUACUUUUCUAGCCCACACAUUAUUAAUAAUUAUUAAUUAAUUAUUAAUAAUUUGGCUAGUCGUACGAUGGAACCAGCAGCUUCAAGCAUCUUUACCAUGUUUUUGUACAUUACUGCAUCCUUCACUGUCCCAGUGAUUUGUCUAGCAAUUUCCUCAUCCCCUCUCAUCCUAAGCAGCUCCCUAACCUCCUCAUCACUCCAAUUUGACAUUUUAAACUGUAUUCUGUAUAAAAAAAAAAUGCUUCUUCACUCUCAUGUGUUUCCUCCAGUUUAUUUCCUGCUUCUGCCUGGUGACAUCACGCAUGGAGACAGCCUAUCACCUUCUGUGGUUUGGAAAUACCGUUUCAGAGCCUUUCACACUGCACAAUGAAACAGAUGGAAUAAAGGUGAAACAUAUUACAAUAUCAUGAAACUAAGAAGCCCGGACAGGGGAUAUUGAUGUGUGUAGAACGGAGAGACAGGAAGUGAUGUACUACAUGGGCGGAAGUCCGGGAACGACCAUCUUUGGUGGAGUCAAGAACAGCUGAGAUGAUCAGCGGACGGCGCGUGAUGACAUCACUUCCGUUAAAGAAAAGAAAAGGGAAUCCACGGACAUUGUAUUGAGAUGUGGAGCAGAGUGACGACAUCACUUCCGGUAUCGGAAGACCGGAAGUCACCCGCGGCCUGGAUCAUGUAUAGGAAAUAGAGAGAUGCAAGAAUGUAUAGAUUAGGUAAUUAGGUAUACAGAUUCCCGGCGGAUGCUCUCUAGGGAGAACACCUGAAAUGAAUGCAUUAUUAUUGGGGUAUAUAAGGACAAAAAUGCAGGUAACUCUCACACCUUGAGAAAGACCCUGGCACGGGUCGAAACGCGUUGGUGGAGAGGCCUGCACUGGACAAUUAGACUUACCCUUGUUGGAAUCAAAGGAGAUCAGACUAACGGGGCCCCGUUAUUUCUGCACAACAUCUCAUCACCUUUGUCCACUCGGGUAUGAUCAUUCCUUGCUUUUAUUGAUGUCUGUUUGUUAUUAAAAGGAUUUUUAUCACGA